CCUACGGGAGGCAGCAGUGAGGAAUAUUGGUCAAUGGACGAGAGUCUGAACCAGCCAAGUAGCGUGAAGGAUGACUGCCCUAUGGGUUGUAAACUUCUUUUAUAUGGGAAUAAAACGUUCCACGUGUGGGAUUUUGUAUGUACCAUAUGAAUAAGGAUCGGCUAACUCCGUGCCAGCAGCCGCGGUAAUACGGAGGAUCCGAGCGUUAUCCGGAUUUAUUGGGUUUAAAGGGAGCGUAGGUGGCUUGGUAAGUGAGUUGUGAAAGUUUGCGGCUCAACCGUAAAAUUGCAGUUGAAACUGGCAGUCUUGAGUACAGUAGAGGUGGGCGGAAUUCGUGGUGUAGCGGUGAAAUGCUUAGAUAUCACGAAGAACUCCGAUUGCGAAGGCAGUUCACUGGACUGCAACUGACACUGAGGCUCGAAAGUGUGGGUAUCAAACAGGAUUAGAUACCCGGGUAGUC
rnacentral:rRNA from 1 species